AAAAAGGAAAUGCUGGAGCUAAUUUGUCCAUCAAGUUUCAAUUUUUACACCCAUUUCUUAAACUUAGGCAAAGCUAACUUGAGUGAAGCAAAUGAAGAACCAAAAACAGCAAUAUAGGGAGAGUAUGAUCUCACCAAAAUGAAUGAAACUACAGUAUGACGCGGAAGAACACCACCAAUCGAACACAGUUCCUGCUGUAAUUCACAAAAGAAGACGUCCACGGCAUCUUCAUUUUACUUCUUCAAUACCAAGUCAAUGGUAAAGAGAUUUUCUAUUUAAACCCCACUGUGAUGUGAAGCCAAGCAAUAUACUACUAGAUGAUGAUAUGGUUGCACAUGUUGCUGAUUUUGGCCCUGCAAGACUCUUAGGUGGAGGAGAUUCUAUGACCCUAGCCACAAUUGGGUAUAUGGCUCCAGGGGGGAUGUGUAUAGUUUCGGUGUUGUACUGAUGGAGACUUUCACAAAAAGGAAGCCAACAGAUGAGAUGUUUGUUGAUAUGGAUUGCAAAUUCCUUGUUUCCAGAUGCUGAAAUAGUUGAAGUUGCGGAUGCCGAUUUAUUUGGGACAGAGGAAGAUCAGGAUUUUGUGAGCAAGAGGGAUUGCUUAUCAUCCAUUAUGUGAGAUUAGCUCUAGCUCGUUCCGCAGAAUUUCCAAAAGAGAGGAUGCAAGAUGUUGUUGUCACACUCAAUAAAAUCAAGAUUAAGUUUUUGAAUGACUGUGCUGGAGUGCAGCCUUUGUUUUUCUAGUUGUUUUGUUUUUUUGUUUUGGAUCCGUUUUCUUGUUGUUUUCGAUCUGAAAAGACUGCAUUAAUUUGUCAUAAAGAGUUGCCUUUCUCCACUAA